rnacentral:rRNA from 1 species
UAUUGCACAAUGGGCGAAAGCCUGAUGCAGCGACGCCGCGUGAGGGAUGACGGCCUUCGGGUUGUAAACCUCUUUCAGCAGGGAAGAAGCGCAAGUGACGGUACCUGCAGAAGAAGCGCCGGCUAACUACGUGCCAGCAGCCGCGGUAAUACGUAGGGCGCAAGCGUUGUCCGGAAUUAUUGGGCGUAAAGAGCUCGUAGGCGGCUUGUCACGUCGGAUGUGAAAGCCCGGGGCUUAACCCCGGGUCUGCAUUCGAUACGGGCUAGCUAGAGUGUGGUAGGGGAGAUCGGAAUUCCUGGUGUAGCGGUGAAAUGCGCAGAUAUCAGGAGGAACACCGGUGGCGAAGGCGGAUCUCUGGGCCAUUACUGACGCUGAGGAGCGAAAGCGUGGGGAGCGAACAGGAUUAGAUACCCUGGUAGUCCACGCCGUAAACGUUGGGAACUAGGUGUUGGCGACAUUCCACGU